rnacentral:rRNA from 1 species
UACGGAGGGUGCGAGCGUUGUUCGGAAUCACUGGGCGUAAAGGGCGUGUAGGCGGUCCGCUAAGUCUGAUGUGAAAGCCCGGGGCUCACCCCCGGAAGUGCAUUGGAAACUGGCGGACUCGAGUCCCGGAGAGGAGAGUGGAAUUCCUGGUGUAGCGGUGAAAUGCGUAGAUAUCAGGAGGAACACCGGUGGCGAAGGCGGCUAUCUGGCCCGUAAUUGACGCUGAGGCGCGAAAGCGUGGGGAGCAAACAGG